rnacentral:lncRNA from 1 species
GGUUGAUUCACUAAUGGAAAGUAUUAUGAUUUAAGAUGUAACUGCUCACACAUGGUUUGUUCUCAGAUGCAGAAAUUCAUGCUUAAAUGUAAAGUCUUUCAACGUAUUUAUUUCACCCUUUGGUAGUAACUAUACUUUAUUAUAAGUUAAGUACAUUGACAUAUCUUACUUGCGUUUUUUUACCUAGUCAGUAAAGAAAUGAAGUGAAAACUAAGUGCAUCUUAAGAUAAACCUUUUGUGAGUCAGGACUUGAUCGUGUUUACAUGUGUCCAAGCUUUUAGCCUAAAACUAAAAGGUUUAGGAAAAUUGUUAUAAUUACAUGUCACUGAACAGUUUUGAUAAGAUAUUUUUCCUGACCGCUCGUCUUUGUUGGAGGUUUAGAUGAUAGAAAACUUUAGUUUUGCACUUAAAGCUCAUGAUGUAACAGACCUCAUGGGAAUGAAGGCUUUAGUUUGUACUAGGGUUCACACCAGAGAUGCGUACAGUACCUCCAGUUAAGGAGAGCUGGGAUGAAACCAGCCACUGGCAAUGUACGGACUGCGUCAUUCAGCUGAAUCCUUUUAGAGCACACAUCUUAGUAUUAAUUAAUUUCCUUUAGGCUUUGCUUUUCUAUUUUGCUCUACAGGAAACGUGACAAUCUAAGCUUGAAACUAAAAUGACCUGGUGUGGAGCCUGCCCCCAUGUGGAGGUGGUCACGGUGACACUAAGGAUGAAGGAGACUCCUGGAGGUUUGGGGAGAUGCGGGUGUUUCAGUGGUGAGGACAAAGCUUUGCUGCCUGAGGACGAUGGACCACUCCAUGAACUGGGUUGAUGACCAUAGCUUCUCCUUGCACCAGUUGCCAGCUGGUUCAGCAUCCUACCUGUAGCAACCUAUGGAUUCAACGUUAGCUGGAGGCUCCCAGAGCAAAAAUGCUGUUUAUCCAUGUUAAUGUGUUUUAGCAAUGAAAGUGUGGUUAGUAAUUAACUAUAUGACCCUGACACUUAUAUAUUUAAACAAACCUUUCAGAUUCUUGUACUUAAAUAAAUUCCUUCUAUUUGUAGACUUUUCUUUGCUC